rnacentral:rRNA from 1 species
GACGAACGCUGGCGGCGUGCUUAACACAUGCAAGUCGAACGGAAAGGCCCUGCUUUUGUGGGGUGCUCGAGUGGCGAACGGGUGAGUAACACGUGAGUAACCUGCCCUUGACUUUGGGAUAACUUCAGGAAACUGGGGCUAAUACCGGAUAGGAGCUCCUGCUGCAUGGUGGGGGUUGGAAAGUUUCGGCGGUUGGGGAUGGACUCGCGGCUUAUCAGCUUGUUGGUGGGGUAGUGGCUUACCAAGGCUUUGACGGGUAGCCGGCCUGAGAGGGUGACCGGCCACAAGGGGACUGAGAGACGGCCCAGACUCCUACGGGAGGCAGCAGUGGGGAAUAUUGCACAAUGGGCGGAAGCCUGAUGCAGCAACGCCGCGUGCGGGAUGACGGCCUUCGGGUUAUAAACCGCUUUCGCCUGUGACGAAGCGUGAGUGACGGUAAUGGGUAAAGAAGCACCGGCUAACUACGUG